UAUUCGAUUUAAAAUUUUAAUUUUAAUUUAAAAACAAAUUUUAAAUUUUAAAUUUACUUUUUAUUUUUUGUAUGUAAUCCCCAACCAUACAAAAUAAAAAAAAAAAAGUUAGAAAAGAGGGAAAAAAAGGGGAAAAAAGUUAGAAAAAAGAAAAAAAAGAAAAAGAAAAAAGAGAGACCAGGCAAUGUAAGGACUGAGAUUUUGUAGUGUAGCUAAACUCUCAGUUGACGAUGUUUUUGUGUGUAAUUUAAUUACAAAAGCACUCGUCAAGUUUCGGGCGAAAACGAGUUAAAACGGAAAUU
rnacentral:lncRNA from 1 species